rnacentral:rRNA from 1 species
GUGCCAGCAGCCGCGGUAAUACGUAGGUGACAAGCGUUAUCCGGAAUUACUGGGCGUAAAGCGCACGCAGGCGGCGCACUAAGUCUGACGUGAAAUCUCCUGGCUUAACUGGGAGGGGUCGUUGGAGACUGGAGUGCUUGAGGCGAUGAGAGGGGUGUAGAAUUCCCGGUGUAGUGGUGGAAUGCGUAGAUAUCGGGAGGAAUACCAGUGGCGAAAGCGACACCCUGGCAUUAGCCUGACGCUCAGGUGCGAAGGCGUGGGGAGCGAACGGGAUUAGAAACCCUGGUAGUCC